rnacentral:lncRNA from 1 species
UUCUUUGUUCAAUUAUGGUUACAAAUAGUAUUUGACUUUAGAGUUUAUGUUUAAGUAAUGCAUUAGGCAUUCAAUUUUAAUUGUUUUUGAAUUAGUUAGGUAGAAGAAAUAGACCCAAAUGAGCCCAGAAAACCUUGAACGCUGCUUUUCUGGUGAGGCGGGCUUCACGUCGCGGGGCAUUUUACCCUAAGGUGCACGCCUCGGCUUGAAAAGGUAGGCCUCACCAGCAGCCACAAAGGCGCAAGCCCUGAAUAGCCUCGCCUCGAGGCGGGUAAGCCUCAACAACUUUUUACAACACAGCUAGCUGCCUAUAUCCAUUCCCUUUCUUCAAUAUGAAUAAUGAGUAGCAUAUGCUGAUUGGCAAAUGAUCAUACAUAGAUGUGUAUGAUGUUUAGCAUUACAACAUACAGUAUAGAGGAAAAAUGGGAGUAGAAUUUGGACAAAAAAGCAGCCUAAGAGACGUCAGAAGCUAAUGGAGGCGGCUGAGAGUCGGCCUGUUCAAUGGAGGUUUCUGUUUGCAAAGUUGUUGAGGCAUCUUCACUCACAGGUGGUGGUGCCGUGGAAACUUCAACAGUUGGAGGAGUAAACUUGUUGAUGUAGUAGCUGAGAGACGGGCCGAGUAUCCACAGUCUNCCCUCCAUCCCCACUGCAAAUGGGUUCCUGUACUUCAUCAGUAGGAUCAACAUCAUACGCGGGAGGUGUAUCCAAGACAUCACCAUCGGUGUCGUUGGCAUAGAUUACACGGCCGCCGGGUUGGCGUUUCGGACAGGCUGCCACACGAUGAUUGGGAUCCCCGCAAGAGAAACACUUACUGGUGCCCGAAGAACGGUCCGGGAAACUAUUACCAGGCAGGCGUGGUGCAGGAGAGAGACUCGGGGUAGCAGAGGUUGGCCACGAAGCUUUGCGAUUGAACUGUUUCUCCAAGGUAGUAGCGUGUUGGUGAGCUUCUGAGAUAGUCCUCGGAUUAACAAGAUUGAGAGAAUCUUGAAAAGGAAGAUGAAGACCACCAAUGUAACGAGAAACUAGCUGUUCUGGUGUUUCACUAAGGUCAUUGCGCGCGAGAAGUUGAUAGAACUCAGUUGAGUAGGCGGCAACAGACCGGGUUCCUUGACGAAGGUUUUGUAGGCGUUGAUAUACAAGCCGAGAGUAAUUAAGCGGAAGGAACUCACGUUCAAAAUACUUGCAAACUUAAACCAUUCCAUGAUUGGAGGUUUGGACUGACGUGUACGGUCGCGUUUGAGGUGGUACCACCAGGCGGAAGCUCGACCGCGGAGACGAGUGGCCACCAAUGGAACACGACGAUCUGGAGGGACCCCUUUGAACUCGAGCAAUUCAUCGACAGCGUGCAGCCAGUCAAGGGCGCUGUCAUCAUUGCCCUCACCCGAAAAUUCAGGGAGAUCAAGUCGGAAACCUGCUUCCCAACGCGUGUCCUCGCCACGACGGGGAACAUCGUGGUUAUCCAAGUUGGCAAACGGAUUAUCUUCUGAGAGUGUAUCAUCGUCAUCGCUUGUGGAAGGAUGUCGGUAGUGGCGCGCCUCGCGGUUCCUGUCUCGACGACGAGGGUCGCGGUGAACAGCACGUCGACCAUUAUCACCCUGCAACAAACGCUCAAUACGAGUGAAGAACGUGGGUCUGGCGUUUUCGGAUCUCAGUCUGUUGCACCCGCAUCGCUUCCAAAUCAGUGGCCAAGGUGUCGACUUGGUGCCGAAGCAGAUUGACAUCGAUGUUUUGGCGAGGCGGCAUUGGAACCGGACUGACUCUGGAUACCAAACUGACGCAGCGAAGCCUUACCAGAAAACUCUCACACACUCGUUGAGUAUAGAAGCACCGAUUACUUGGAAGAAUAAAGAGUAAACCCUAGCUUUUAUUCAAUAACAUCAACUGCGUACAAAGCUCUCAAAUCUCUCCUUAAAUACUAGAGUCUAGCAGAUCAUACUAAGAAGGAAAGUAAUAAGUUCCAAAAGUAAGACAAUUAACAUAAAUAAAGAUAAUAAGUGAAUUAAGUCUUGGGCUUCGCCAAACGGAUUGGAUCGAAUUUAUCGAGAAAGGCUACCGCGGCCUCAUCUCCAUCACAUCUUCACUCACAGGUGGUGGUGCCGUGGAAACUUCAACAGUUGGAGGAGGCGUAAACUUGUUGAUGUAGUAGCUGAGAGACGGGCCCGAGUAUUCCACAGUCUGCUGCACCACUGGUGGAUUCUUGCCUACUUGGAGAAGAACUGCUGAAGCAGCAGCAAUUGAGACUAGGGCAAUGCCUCC